rnacentral:rRNA from 1 species
CGUGAGUGAUGAAGGCCUUCGGGUCGUAAAGCUCUGUCAAGUGGGAAGAACCUAUGCAGUGUUAAUGUCACUGUGUACUGACGGUACCACUGAAGGAAGCACCGGCUAACUCCGUGCCAGCAGCCGCGGUAAUACGGGGGGUGCAAGCGUUAUUCGGAAUCAUUGGGCGUAAAGAGCACGUAGGCGGCCUGGUAAGUCAGAUGUGAAAGCCCGGGGCUUAACCCCGGAAGUGCAUUUGAUACUGUCAGGCUUGAGUAUGGGAGAGGGAAGUGGAAUUCCUGGUGUAGAGGUGAAAUUCGUAGAUAUCAGGAGGAACACCGGUGGCGAAGGCGACUUCCUGGACCAAUACUGACGCUGAGGUGCGAAGGCGUGGGUAGCAAACAGGAUUAGAUACCCUGGUAGUCCACGCAGUAAACGUUGUUCACUAGGUGUAGCGGGUAUUGACCCCUGCUGUGCCGCAGUUAACGCAUUAA